rnacentral:rRNA from 1 species
GGGUGCGAUCAUACCAGCGUUUGUGCACCGGAUCCUAUCAGAACUCCGCAGUUAAGCGCGCUUGGCCAGAGUAGUACUGGGAUGGGCGACCACCCGGGAAGUCCCGCUUUCGGGCCCUU